rnacentral:lncRNA from 10 species
CCCCAUUGCACUUCAGCCAGCCUAGGUGACAGAGUGAGACCCUGUCUCAACAAACAAACAAAACAUAUUAAAAACUCUAUUAAUUUCUACUACUUCCAAGGGUUAUUGUGAGGGCUGUAAGCUAGCAAGCUGAAACCAACCACUAGUGUGUCUGUCCGAUAAAAACAACAACUAACGUUGACUGAGCACUCAUUAUGUGCCAGGCAUUAGGCAAAGCUCUUGACAUGCCUUAACUCAUUAAUCAGGCUCUGUGUGUUAAUAAUACCUGCAUGUAGGAGGUGAGCCAUGGCAGGGGCUUCAUUUUUUCCUCUGGCUAAUCACCCAGCAUGUUCAGGAGGAAGCCGCUGGACCUGGGGCAAGGCAGCCUUAGACCUUGCUGAUGCCAGGCCUUAUUAGCACAACCCUCACAUACACCAAAUCCACUAAGCUACCCCGUUGCUGAAAUCGACAUGCACCUCCACCAAGCCUGGCUCAGUGAAGGUCUCUAAUACAUGCCUAACAGGCCUCCAGCAGUCUCUAAGCCAAGGGGCUUCACCCACUCACCCGCACUUCUCAUCUUGAAUCUGGAAACCACAUUCUUCUACCCUGGGUGGCACAGCCUUCCCCUGGCCCUGGUUGAACCUGAUGCCAUUUAAAUAUCCUGCCAAGCUUGCUGCCUUGAGAAAACCUUGGACACUGAUUUACCUCCUAUCUAAUGACUAGAAGAGGAAGCUGGAUUUCCAGAUGCCCACAGCUGGCGUCAAGCACCAGGCUGGCUCCAGUGAUCUCUGUGGGAGCCAGCCUGCCAGCCUGGCCUGGCCUGCCCAUACUCCAGACACCUGGAAAGAGACUGAAGCGUUGCUAUGCUCUGCCUUUUCCCACCAGCAGGAGAGUGAAAAUAGCAGUGAUUUAGAAUUAAUUCUGCAGAUGAACAUUUUUCGGUUUCCCAAAUUUGGCAAUCCUUCUCUCCUUGUUUUUUCCACCUUCAU